UGUAAGCGCUGUGAGGCGUUGAGCUAACCAAUACUAAUUGCCCGUGAGGCUUGACCAUAUAACACCCAAGCAAUU
rnacentral:rRNA from 2 species